rnacentral:rRNA from 1 species
GGCGGACGGGUGAGUAACGCGUAAAGAACUUGCCCUUUAGACUGGGAUAACAGAGGGAAACUUCUGAUAAUACUGGAUAAGUUAGUAUAUCGCAUGAUAUGCAAAUGAAAGCUACGGCACUAAAGGAGAGCUUUGCGUCCUAUUAGCUAGUUGGUAAGGUAAGAGCUUACCAAGGCGAUGAUAGGUAGCCGGCCUGAGAGGGUGGACGGCCGCAAGGGGACUGAGAUACGGCCCUUACUCCUACGGGAGGCAGCAGAA